rnacentral:lncRNA from 1 species
AUCCCUGGCGAUAUUGUGUCAUCCUGUCGAACAAUUAAAGUCUCUUUCUUUCUUGAUUUGUUGACGAGUCUGGCGUUAUGCAUCCAAGAAUUUGAAGGGUCUUUAGAAUGUGAGAUCCCGGUCAUCUUGCUAAGAUGAAGUGUGGGAUCUUGGUUUGUCUUGGCUGAGUUGGUAAGUUGGGAAUAUAGGAAAAAAGUUCAAAUAUUCUGAAUCAAUCUUGGUUAAAUACUACUGAGAUUGAGAUACUGGGCAGUCUUGUCUAAAAGAAUAAUUAUCAUGUUACGGUAUUUAUUUAUUUAUUUUGCCUUGAAGAAAUAUUGAUAAAUUCUGGCUGGUGUGUUUGCAUGAUAUUGGCUGAUAUUUUGGGAUAUGAUGGUUUAUAUUAGUGGAGAUAAUGACAUCCUCUAAUACUUUAUCAGUAGAUGUGUAAUGCUAAUACAAGCUGAGAUAGAAAUCUUGGUCAGCGACAACUAGAGUAAUUUGAUAGUUAUAAUUAGAUUAAACCCUCACUUUUGUAUGCUCGUCUCUGCAGCGAUCAUGUGGUUUCUAUGCCAAAGGAGGACAUAACCAUGUUGAGGCUCUUUCGGAAUCUUUGUGAAAGCUUGCUUAUACGUGGGCUCCUAAGUUUAUUUAUCUGCCUUAUGCUGUUCAAAGUCAAAUUUUUUUUUAUUCCAUCUGUAAAUUUUUAUAUAGAGAAUAUCAAUUUUUUUCUUCAUUCCUACUCUCUCUUUUCAUGAAGUCUCUUUCAUAAAAGUUCCAAAUAAAUUUAAUUCUAUGUAUUUUUGUAAUUUAACUACUGAAUGAUUUGGAACUUUUUCACUUUCUUCUUUUUUCAUUGCACAUGGCCGGUUGCUGGUAUUCUAAUAUUUUUGAGAA